UAACUACUUAGCAUAUGCAUAAUUUAUAUACAUAGAUACUUAAACUAAAAGCAAAUAUUAAUUGUCUAUUAUUUUUAUACAUACAUAUAUAUAUAAUUGCAUUGUAAAUUAUUGCAUUAUAAAAAAAGAAAUAAUAACUACUUAGCAUAUGCAUAAUGUAUAUAGAUAGACACUUAAACUAAAAGCAAAUAUUAAUUGUUUACUAUUUUUAUACAUACAUAUAUAUAAUUGCAUUGUAAAUAAUUGCAUUAUAAAAAAGAAAUAAUAACUACUUAGCAUAUGCAUAAUGUAUAUACAUAGACACUUAAACUAAAAGCAAAUAUUAAUUGUCUAUUAUUUUUAUACAUAUAUAUAUAUAAUUGCAUUGUAAAUAAUUGCAUUAUAAAUAAUUACAUUAUAAAUAAGAAAUAAUAAUUACUUAAUCUAUACAUUCAUAUAAAUAUAUAUAUAUAAAUAAUUGCAUAAUCUAUACAUUCAUAUAAAAAAACAAAAAAAAUCUCCACCCUCAAGCCGGCUGGGCCGGCUGUCCAGCCCACCUCCCCCUCUCUCUAGCCACGGGUGGGCCGGCCCAGCUGCCCAGGGGGCCCACUUGCGAGGCGGCCGCCGGCAAACCCUGCCUCCGGCCGCAGGGACGACAGCCGCCGCCGCCGCCGCCUGAGAGCACCACCCGCGAGGCGGCCCCGACGCUGCCCCGGCCGCCUCGCUCGACUCCCCUACCUCCCUGCGCCCCGCC
rnacentral:lncRNA from 1 species